rnacentral:rRNA from 1 species
CACGUAGGCACCAAGCGUUGUCCGGAUUUAUUGGGCGUAAAGGGCUCGUAGGCGGCCCACUAAGUCAGACGUGAAAUCCCUCGGCUUAACCGGGGAACUGCGUCUGAUACUGGAGGGCUUGAGUUUGGGAGAGGGAUGCAGAAUUCCAGGUGUAGCGGUGAAAUGCGUAGAUAUCUGGAGGAAUACCGGUGGCGAAGGCGGCAUCCUGGACCGACAUUGACGCUGAGGAGCGAAAGCUAGGGGAGCAAACGGGG